rnacentral:misc_RNA from 1 species
UUAUGUACACUGCAACCUGGCCAAAAGAAGUAAGAAAAAUAGCAAGUGAUCUUCUUGUUAAUCCUGUUCAGGUGAACAUUGGCAGUGUUGAUGAACUUGCUGCAAACAAGUCCAUCACACAGUAUGUUGAAGUGGUCCCACAAAUGGAGAAGGAGAGACGCUUGGAGCAGAUCCUUAGGGCACAAGAGAGAGGUUCAAAGGUUAUUAUUUUCUGUUCCACUAAGAGAUUAUGUGACCAGCUUGCACGUAGUAUUGGGCGCAACUUUGGGGCUGCAGUGAUUCAUGGAGACAAGUCACAAGGGGAAAGAGAUUGGGUUUUAAAUCAGUUCAGGAAUGGAAAGUCACCAAUUUUAGUUGCUACUGAUGUUGCUGCCCGAGGUCUUGAUAUCAAAGAUAUAAGGGUAGUGAUAAACUAUGAUUUUCCUACUGGAAUUGAGGAUUAUGUCCACCGAAUUGGUAGAACUGGAAGGGCUGGUGCAACUGGUGUGUCUUACACCUUUUUCUCUGAGCAGGAUUGGAAAUAUGCAGCCGAUUUGGUUAAAGUUCUGGAGGGAGCUAACCAGCAUGUUCCCCCAGAGGUGCGAGAGAUGGCUUUGCGUGGUGGGCCUAGUGUUGGCAAGGAUCGAGGUGGGAUGAACCGUUUUGAUUCAAAUAGUGGUAAUGGUGCUGGUAGGCGUUGGGAUUCUGGGGGCCGUGGUGGGAUGAGGGAUGGUGGCUUUGGUGGCCGUGGUGGAAUGAGGGAUGGUGGUUUUGGUGGUCGUGGUGGAAUGAGGGAUGGCAACUUUGGUGGACGUGGUGGGAUGAGGGAUGGAGGCUUUGGUUUCCGUGGGGGUGUUAGGGAUGGCCCUUUUGGUGGAUAUGGUGGGAGAAAUGACUCGUUUUCUGGGCGUGGAAAUAGAGGACGUGGAUACAGUGGUCAUGCUGGUUGGGGUAGGAAUGAACGUGGCCUACAUGAUCGCCACAACAAUAUGGAUGGUCGAGGACGUGGUCGUGGACGGGGAAGAUUUGAUGGUAGAAGAGAGAUUGUUGAUAGGGUUAGGGAUAGAAGUUAUAGUCGUAGCCCUGAGAGGGUUCGAACGUGGGGUUAUAGCCGCAGUCGAAGUAGAAGUAAGAGCUGGAGCCGGAGCCGGAGCCGGAGCUGCAGUAGGAGUCGGAGUUGGUCCCGAGACCGUAGUCGCAGUUACAGCCGCAGUCCUCGACAUAGCCGCAGCUACAGCCGUAGCCCUCGACGUACUCGCAGCUGUAGCCGCAGUCGCAGUCAAAGCUAUGACAGAUUGGAGAGGCCACAUGAAAGCAAUUUUGACAAGAA